GCUUUCUAUUCCCCCCUCCAUGCCCCCUUUGUCUCUUUACCUGGGGGGCCCCAGCCCACUUGCACCCCCACAAUCCCUGCUCUGCCCACAGCUGUUAAUUUGGGUUCCUUCUGCUCCAGCCCCACCUCCAGCUUGAGCUAACUGUGCCUCCCCGAUUCCUGGGCCCCUAAUGCCAACCAGGCUGGGAUUGGCGGGGGGGACAGCAUCAGGGCGGUUACAUUGCUGUGAUAUGGGGUGGCUGGCUCUCUGGAGACCUCCAUCCCAAUUGGUACAAAGAGGGGUGGGGCUUUGUAGCAGCGGAGGGAGCCAGCCAUCUCCUUUUCCCCCUCCCACAUUUCUCCCAGGCCACUCACAGCCCUUCUUGGUCCCACCUCCAGUUGUCUACUUCUCUGGCCCCUCCCAAUUUCCUCUCUUGCCACUUUCCCUUUGCCCCUUCCCCAUGGGUUGUCAUUUCUCCUGGCCCUGCUCCCUUCUUGCUGUGCCCUGGGGGGUGGGGGGGGAUCAAACAGGAUUGUCCCUUCAGGGUGUGUCCUGCACCAGCCUUCCUCUACCAGCUGAGGUGUAUCCAAUUAUAAUGGGGAGGGGAGUUGCCAGUAUUUCUAGAAGGGGUCAAUUGCCUCUUCAAUCGGCAAGUCUCCCCAGUACAGUAUUUCUCAUGGGGGUGAUUUUUCCCAACUCCAGGGGUUUCUCCCCUCAAAUGCUAUGUCACGGUUUCUUUGAGGGACACGGGGGCUGCACUUCUCCUGGAAAAGCCGAUACCUCACUUAUUUUGGGGAGGGCCCUUCACACCCUGAGCUGGUCUCAUGGGCCGAGUGGAGGGCAGAUGAUACUACACCAUUAACAACCCCCAGCUGGUGUUACAGGUGACAUCAGGAUGUGUGGGUUCUCUCCCUGGCUCUCAGAGGGGAGCAGUGGAAUAGUGGUUAGAGUGGGAAGGGCUGCAAGCCAGGACUCUUGGGCUGGAGGAGAAGGUUCCUUCAUCACCACUAAUUUCUAAUGCAUGCUUCUCUGCCUCCCUCCUCUGUAAACUUCCCUCUCCCUUUCAGAGGGGGGGGCCCGCUGGAUUAAAGAUUUUUUUUUCACUCCUGGCAACAAAGUGGUCAUGUGUGCUGCCUUCCUUUGUUCAGAGGUGUUACUGGGGUUCCCUUUGCAGCUCUGGGAGCUGGUGGGUUAGAGCAGGUGGGGUGGGAGCCAGGACUCCUGGAUCUUCUCCCUGGCUCUGGCAGAUGUGUGGGGGUUGUCUCUUGCUGUGGGAGGAAGCUAUAGCUGGGGGCAGCCAGGCACUAUAACAGACCGUUAGUUGGUAGGUGUAAGGGUCCAUGUAGAGACCAGCAACUCACUGUGCUUGUGUUUACAGUUGCACUAGGGAAGGUUCCAAGGCCCAGAUGUGUGUGGUCUGGUCUGACCUGUACCUCCUAGGCUAGAGUCCUGCCCUGAAAUCUUCCCUCCCACAGGUCUUCGAAGACAAUGUCCCGUCUCAAUGUACAAAUCACCAGCGGGUUCAUUUCAGUCAAAAACUGAUACCUUCUGUCUCCCCUGAAUUAGCCCAGCUUGGAUGUCCCGCUGUUGGCUCCCCUGGGAUGUUUUUUCACUCAACCAGGGAGUCUUUUAUUACAAAUCUUUGGGAUCAACUCGCUCCUUAAUCUUAAGCUAUAAAUCACUGAUGAUCUUUUGAGUCUGUCCUGGAUUUUUUUAAUACUCCACAAGGCUCUUUUCCAUCUCCAAUUUAGCCCCUUUCUCCAUUAAUUGUGGGCAUUAGAGCCACCUCUCUGCUACCGCUCCACAUGCUCCAGUUGAUCUGUCCCAGGAGCACAUUCACAUUUUUAGCCACAGCCUAGCACUAGCAGCUCCUCCUUCAGCUGCUCCUCCAUCACAACACCCAAAUCUCAGGGCCCCUGAUUCCCAGGAUAAAAGACCCUAACCUGUAUCUUUAGAGCCCUACGAGCUGCAGCUAUCCACUUUAUAUCCAUUCUAUUUGCAACCAUGGAUGUGGAUAUCUGUAGCUCACUUUUGCGGAGGUGGAUACAAGUUUUGUAUCUGCACAGGGCUCUGAGUAUCUUUGUUCCUAGAUGUCUGUCUGCCGUAGUACAUUUAAAGACAAACUCAUUGUCCUUAAUUCUGUGAGCCAUGGAAGUUGUUGCAUAUCUUUUGCUUCCCUUACCAAUGUUCUACAAUUCCUCCCUUUUGUUUUAUAUUGAUCUGUCCUUUUUUCCAUGCAUUACAGGCUCCUCUUUAUAGCUGCCUUCCUUUUCCCCUUCAAACUGGGUCAGGUUUUUUGUAAUGUAGCUGUCUUCUUUCCCCUCCAGUGUGGCCCAUAGCAAAGCUUUCUUAAACAACCCCCAAGUUGUAGUUGUGGUUUUUCUGAUCCAUUCAGAUUCCUUCCUGGCUGAUUUGGUGACUCAUGGAUUUCUACUUUGGGAAACAGCCCUUGUGAAGCACUGCAGGCACAGCUGUGUAGGAAUGUUGGUUUGGAUUGCGUUCUCUUAGUUGCAGUGAAGUCAUGAAAGUGCGCACUUUCAGCUGCUACUCAUUUUCACAAAUGGGAUUUGGCUUCUUUUUGGCCAGCCGGCCAUAAGAGACUUUCCCUAUGGUGGCUGUCUUGCUUGUCACAUCUCUCAUGGGGAAUUGUUCGAGCACGGAGAGCGUGAGACCUCAAACUGGUGGCAUGCCGCUCAGUGACCCCCAACUGUGCCCAUGCUGGCGUGUUUGGGGGUGAUUUGCUGGGAUGAUUGCAUAUACCAACAAAUGAAGCCCCAGCACUCCCAUUCUGAUUCCAUUGCUUUCCUUGCCCCUCCUCCCCCUGACUUGUUCACCAUGACUGAGGGGGAACAAGGAGGGGACCUCCUCACACAAUCCACCAUGCCUGUGGCUGCCCCUCAAGCCAGCUCCCAAUACUCCCCUUCACCUGUCCUCCCCAUCCUCUCUUCUUCUCAUCCUUCCUCCCUCCCACCUUUGGACCUUCUGCUUCUCCACCGCCCCUCGCCAGCAGCGCAUUGGCUGGGCUGCCCCCUUCUGCUCUCUCCGGGAGGGGGGAGAUGUAUAAUAGGCAGGGCUAGGGGGGAUGGGUCACACACAAGUUCUGUUGCUUUCCAGCUUAGUGUCUGGUGGUUUGGUUUUGGGGGAAGCCUCAGCACCAUGGGAUACCUACUUUUCAUCCUGCUCCUCCUCGCCAGCACUGCAUUGCACCCUGGGAGCCCCAUGCCUGCCAGAGCCCCCCAUCCCCGUCUCCCCCACCUGGGGAGCCAGGCACUGUCCAGGACCCUGGUGCUAAGAGCCGUCUCUGGACUCCUCCGUGCUGAGCUGCCCCCGCAAGAUGUGGCCACCCCUUGGCACCCACCCCCCACAUCUCCCCGGGAGCGCAAGACUGGCUGCAAGAGCUUCUACUGGAAAACCCUUACCUCCUGCUAGUUCUGUCCCUGGGAGUCCCAGCCUCCUACCCUCUGACCCAGGGGGUCUCUAUCGUCCCCAUGUUGGGUCUCUUCAACUUUCAUAAUCCGUUCCCAAAGAUGACAAUAAAAUAGCAGUUUGUGCUGACCUUCA